UCUUUUCCUUUUUUGCCCGCCGCCGCGGUAAAACGUAGGUCACAAGCGUUGUCCGGAAUUACUGGGUGUAAAGGGAGCGCAGGCGGGAAGACAAGUUGGAAGUGAAAUCUAUGGGCUCAACCCAUAAACUGCUUUCAAAACUGUUUUUCUUGAGUAGUGCAGAGGUAGGCGGAAUUCCCGGUGUAGCGGUGGAAUGCGUAGAUAUCGGGAGGAACACCAGUGGCGAAGGCGGCCUACUGGGCACCAACUGACGCUGAGGCUCGAAAGUGUGGGUAGCAAACAGG
rnacentral:rRNA from 1 species